rnacentral:misc_RNA from 1 species
GAUGAAGAACGCAGCGAAAUGCGAUAAGUAAUGUGAAUUGCAGAAUUCAGUGAAUCAUCGAAUCUUUGAACGCACAUUGCGCCCUCUGGUAUUCCGGGGGGGCAUGCCUGUUCGAGCGUCAUUACAACCCUCAAGCUCUGCUUGGUAUUGGGCUCUGCCGGUCCUGGCAGGCCUCAAAGUCAGUGGCGGUGCCAUCCGGCUCCAAGCGUAGUAAUUCUUCUCGCUUCGGAGGCCGCGGUGCGUGCUAGCCAGCAACCCCCAAUUUUUUUCAGGUUGACCUCGGAUCAGGUAGGGAUACCCGCUGAACUUAAGCAUAUCAAUAAGCGGAGGA